rnacentral:tRNA from 8 species
GCCGGAAUAGCUCAGUUGGUAGAGCAGAGGAC